CAUAUUUAUCUCAUACUGGGCAUUGCUGCAGUUUUGUCAGAAAUAAGUUCCUGUUUCUUUACAACUCACAUGUAUGAAAAACCCACCUUCAUUCUGACUGACUGUGUCGGUGACCAUACAAGAAAAUCUGUGCCAAAUUAACAUAAUCAGAGUGAUUAGAGCAGUCUGAAGCCUGAGUUUUUGGUUAACAGGGAUGACUGACUUUAUUAUAUGAAACUUUGGUCAUGAUUAAUAUUAACGUCCACAAUUAGAAUGGGAUAUGUAUGACAGAAAGGUUAGAAGUUCAGGUUAGAAGUGUGUCACUGACAGCUUUCGUGUGUUUGCAGGACUUCAUCUGUCCACAGGUGAGGGAUCGUCAGUUACUCCACUACUUCCACAAGAAAGCCUCAGGACAGAGAUUUGACAUUAAAAAGUACAAUGAGCUCAGAGACGAGCUAGCAAGGUGGACGCUGAUCUGAGGAAGCUGAGGAACGCUAUCAAGCUGCAGCUGCCAGUGGAUCAGAUCCAGCCUCAAAGAGCCAGUGUUUAACAGUUAACAUUUCUAACUGGAAACUGGAAUUUCUGGGUGGUGACUGCUCCAGUUUUUCUUUUUUUUCUUUGUUUUUCUAGAUUGUAUGCUAUAGUCACACUGGGGAAAACACUGGCACAAUUAAAAAUGUUGUGACUACGUGCAAUGAUUUUGCAAACUUGUUGCUCGUUGAAGACAGGUACCAGGUCUGUGACCACUCACAGUCAGCUGCCAUCUUGAAAGCUACUUCAAAACAACAAAAUAUAAGAAAACAAACAAACAAACAAAAAAAAAUAGAGUCAGCAUGGUUUCUCCAUCAGUUUACACUUGUAUGGGAUCAAGUGGGCAAUUCCAUUCCAUCUUUGAUAAAACAUCAAGCAACUAUGGUAAACUGAUGACAAUCGCAAAUCUGUUGUCGUCUGUAAAAAUAGAAAUUCACAUCAGGUACUUGCAUUCAGAGUCCAGGCAGAACCUCAUAAAUCUGAAAGAGAGAUUUGGAAAUCCUCCACAAAUAGUAACAUAGUUGUUGCAGGAUCGCGAUUUAACUGCCAAAUGACACAAUCACUCAGCAACCUUGCUUAAAUAUAGGAAUAUAACCAGAACACAAACACAUGAGUCAAGUGGCCUGUUGCAAUGAGAUACAACACAGACAACUGAAGAAGAUGCAGUGAGUCUAAGUCAGACUGCAACUGGUUGGAGACCAGUUGCCUCUCACCAGGCACUUGCCUCUCACUUUGCCAUGAACACCUGCAGCCUCAUGGGUUAACAGCUGGUCACUGCAAUGAUUUGCAAUUUGUUAUCUAAUGUAAAAGUUUUCAAUAAAAUCACUGGGGACCCAACAUUGUUUCUAAUUCUCAAAGAGAUUGCCAGCCUGCGCUCUAGGGUGACAUUAGGCAACCAGAUGGAUUUCUGUUUCACUACAGCACUUUUACACUAAAGUUUUAUUUCACUUGAAACAUGUAAAUGAAUAAACAAAUUAAAUAAUUUCAAACUGACUCAACUCAACUGCUUCGUCUAGCUUUGUCUUGGUUGUGUUUUUGACUUUCAGGGCGCAGUCCUGAAGCUUUUCUGUAGCUGCUGAUUCUUUAAUGUCUGUUUUGCUAGUAAGGACAAUAAAAACACUAUUUCUUUUUUCAGUUAUGUAAGAUUUACAUCACAAUUACAUCAAAUGAAAAAAAGUGUAAUUGCUCUGAGAAAUUUUUAUUACUAGGAAUAAACUUUGAAGCAUUGUUUUGUAUUUUACUUUCGUGUUGUAACAGGUAAAAAAAAACAUUCAGCUUCAUCACCAGUGUGUACAAACACAUGUAAAAACUUUGAAAAAGCAAACUCAGAGUGAAGAGAAACUAAGUCAGGAGGAGGGAAAUGCUUCACUGGCAGAGUCCUCUUAAAGUACCAAAGAAUAUAUAGCUCAUGUAAUGGUGAAAGGGAUGUUUCAGUCACAACUCAUGUCAGAGCUUUAGCAUUAGUUAAUCUUCAAAGUUUUUAUCAGUCAUUAUAGCUGUUACUUCAGCAGUCUGAUUUCCUACAAACUAUAUUCAGAAAUUGAAAUAAUUAUUGAAUAAUUAAAUAAUCAGCCUGUCAUGAUCCUGGGCCAUGUUGGCCCAGUAUUCUUAGUUUUCGUGUGUUUUGUAUUUUGUUCUUUAUUUAUGCCGUGGUUCCUAGGUUGUUCUGUUAAGUUGUCCCUUAUUUUGACUUCCCCUUGUGACCUUUACCCCCUGUGUGCCCCUCUGUGUGUCUGUGAGCCCUCAUCUCCCCUCCUUGUGUUUUAUUCCAUGUUUCCCAAGCCCACUAUGCCUGUGCUCUCUCUCCUCCUGUCUGCACCUCUGUACUUCCUGUGUUACUUUGACAGUCUCCCGUCAGUGUUAUGUUUACCCCUGCCAUGUCUCGUUAUGAUUAUCUGUGUCAGCUGUGUUCCCCGUGUGUUCCCACUUCCUUCGUUAACCCUCUGUGUAUUAAUGUGCAUGUCUCCCUCAGUUCAGCAUCGUGUUCUACCUCAUUCAUGGCCGUGUGUUUCUCUGUGUACCAGUGUAUCGUUUCCCAGUGUAGUUUGUUUCACCAUUUCCCUCCAGCAAUAAAGCUGUGUUUUGAGUUCA